rnacentral:rRNA from 1 species
CAGCAGCCACGGUAAUACGAAGGGUGCAAGCGUUACUCGGAAUUCCUGGGCGUAAAGCGUGCGUAGGUGGUGGUUUAAGUCCGUUGUGAAAGCCCUGGGCUCAACCUGGGAAUUGCAGUGGAUACUGGGUCACUAGAGUGUGGUAGAGGAUAGUGGAAUUUCCGGUGUAGCAGUGAAAUGCGUAGAGAUCGGAAGGAACAUCUGUGGCGAAGGCGACUAUCUGGGCCAACACUGACACUGAGGCACGAAAGCGUGGGGAGCAAACAGGAUUAGAUACCCCUGUAGUCCCUGUCUCUUAUAC